rnacentral:antisense_RNA from 1 species
CUUCACCGACCCCAGCAGCAACGGGUGUUCGCGCUCCUGCCCGUACGUGGCCAGCAGGGCCUGCGCCUC